GCAUCAAUGGGAUAGUGGUAACCUGGGUCCUUGCCAUUCGUAAUUUCUCAAAGUGUGCUUGUGCGAUUUCGACCCGCCGGGGGUUCAAUUCCCAUUUGAUGCA